rnacentral:rRNA from 1 species
GACGAACGCUGCGCGGUGCUAACACAUGCAAGUCGAACGGAGCACCUUUGGAAAGAGACUUACGGGUCAAUGGAUGAGACUGCUUAGUGGCGGACGGGUGAGUAACGCGUGAGGAACCUGCCUUUCAGAGGGGGACAACAGUUGGAAACGACUGCUAAUACCGCAUGAUGCAUGAUCAGGGCAUCCUGGACAUGCCAAAGAUUUAUCGCUGAAAGAUGGCCUCGCGUCUGAUUAGCUGGUUGGUGAGGUAACGGCCCACCAAGGCGACGAUCAGUAGCCGGACUGAGAGGUUGACCGGCCACAUUGGGACUGAGAUACGGCCCAG